GCGCUGUCAGCGCAGGGCGGCGAGCGGAAUGCAGCGGCCCGAGGCCUGGCCACGUCCGCACCCGGGGGAGGGGGCCGCGGCCGCCCAGGCCGGGGGCGCGGCACCGCCCGCCCGAGCCGGGGAGCCCGCGGGGUCGCGGUUGCAGGAGCCUUCUCUCUACACCAUCAAGGCUGUUUUCAUCCUAGAUAAUGACGGACACCGCCUGCUGGCCAAGUAUUAUGAUGACACGUUUCCCUCCAUGAAGGAGCAGAUGGCCUUCGAGAAAAAUGUCUUCAAUAAGACCAGCCGGACGGACAGUGAGAUCGCGUUUUUCGGGGGCAUGACCAUCGUCUACAAGAGCAGCAUUGACCUCUUCCUGUAUGUGGUGGGCUCGUCCUACGAGAACGAGCUGAUGCUCAUGUCCGUUCUCACCUGCCUGUUUGAGUCCCUGAACCACAUGUUAAGGAAGAACGUGGAGAAGCGCUGGCUGCUGGAGAACAUGGACGGAGCCUUCCUGGUGCUGGACGAGAUUGUGGAUGGCGGCGUGAUUCUGGAGAGUGACCCCCAGCAGGUGAUCCAGAAAGUGAAUUUUAGGGCAGAUGACAGCGGCUUGACUGAACAGAGCGUGGCUCAGGUCUCCCUGCACAGACUAAUCCUGAGUUUACGGAGCUUCCUGCCCUGGCACUAACCACCUCCUGCUGUGGUGGCCCAGGCCGAGAUGGGUGCAUAAUGUCCCGUGUGGAGCCCCAGGUUCUUCAGUCUGCCAAGGAACAAAUUAAAUGGUCGUUACUGAAAUGAAAGCUGUGCAUUUGAGGCUCCCUCCCCCAGAUAAUUUCCGUGAUCCUGGCAAACAACUCAAAGACCCCAGGGAACAGAAGACACCCUUCUGUAUCCCCAGGCCCUCCCAGAACUGACUCCUGAAGCUUCUGGCUGGGGACUCCGAAAUGAAGAGAUUUGGCUUUAGCACUGAGUCACCCCUCCUCAUUGCCCUGGCCUGCCCCUCGGGCUUUGAGACCCAGCUGAGCCGCCUUAACUCAGACCUCAGGCAUCCCCGACCCCAGAGCCCAAAUAAACCUGCUGUCCCCUGU